rnacentral:rRNA from 1 species
UACGGGGGGGGCAAGCGUUGUUCGGAAUUACUGGGCGUAAAGGGCUCGUAGGUGGCCAACUAAGUCAGACGUGAAAUCCCUCGGUUUAACCGGGGAACUGCGUCUGAUACUGGAUGGCUUGAGUUCGGGAGAGGGAUGCGGAAUUCCAGGUGUAGCGGUGAAAUGCGUAGAUAUCUGGAGGAACACCGGUGGCGAAGGCGGCAUCCUGGACCGACACUGACACUGAGGAGCGAAAGCCAGGGGAGCAGACGGG